rnacentral:rRNA from 1 species
CAGCAUGAUUUGUAGCAAUACAGAUUGAUGGCGACCGGCGCACGGGUGAGUAACGCGUAUGCAACCUGCCCUUCACAGGGGGAUAACCGGGAGAAAUUCCGACUAAUACCGCAUACGUCCUCCGGGGGCAUCCCCUGGGGAUGAAAGAAUUAUCGGUGAAGGAUGGGCAUGCGUGAUAUUAGGUAGUUGGCGGGGCAACGGCCCACCAAGCCCACGAUAUCUAGGGGUUCUGAGAGGAAGGUCCCCACAUUGGUACUGAGACACGGACCAAACUCC